UACGUAGGGACCAAGCGUUGAUCGGAUUUACUGGGCGUAAAGGGCGCGUAGGCGGCAUAUUAAGUCAGCUGUGAAAUCUCCGAGCUUAACUCGGAACUGUCAGCUGAUACUGAUGUGCUAGAGUGCAGAAAGGGCAAUCAGAAUUCUUGGUGUAGCGGUGAAAUGCGUAGAUAUCAAGAGGAAUACCUGAGGCGAAGGCGGGUUGCUAGGCUGACACUGACGCUGAGGCGCGAAAGCCAGGGGAGCAAACGGG
rnacentral:rRNA from 1 species